UCCCUGGUGGCUCAGAGGGUAAAGCAUCUGCCUGCUAUGCAGGAAACCUGGGUUCAAUCCCUGCAUUGGGAA
rfam:TPA: Bos taurus chromosome 19, whole genome shotgun sequence.